GGGACACGUGGUAUCCUGUCUGAAUAUGGGGGGACCAUCCUCCAAGGCUAAAUACUCCUGACUGACCGAUAGUGAACCAGUACCGUGAGGGAAAGGCGAAAAGAACCCCGGCGAGGGGAGUGAAAAAGAACCUGAAACCGUGUACGUACAAGCAGUGGGAGCACGCUUAGGCGUGUGACUGCGUACCUUUUGUAUAAUGGGUCAGCGACUUAUAUUCUGUAGCAAGGUUAACCGAAUAGGGGAGCCGAAGGGAAACCGAGUCUUAACUGGGCGUUAAGUUGCAGGGUAUAGACCCGAAACCCGGUGAUCUAGCCAUGGGCAGGUUGAAGGUUGGGUAACACUAACUGGAGGACCGAACCGACUAAUGUUGAAAAAUUAGCGGAUGACUUGUGGCUGGGGGUGAAAGGCCAAUCAAACCGGGAGAUAGCUGGUUCUCCCCGAAAGCUAUUUAGGUAGCGCCUCGUGAAUUCAUCUCCGGGGGUAGAGCACUGUUUCGGCAAGGGGGUCAUCCCGACUUACCAACCCGAUGCAAACUGCGAAUACCGGAGAAUGUUAUCACGGGAGACACACGGCGGGUGCUAACGUCCGUCGUGAAGAGGGAAACAACCCAGACCGCCAGCUAAGGUCCCAAAGUCAUGGUUAAGUGGGAAACGAUGUGGGAAGGCCCAGACAGCCAGGAUGUUGGCUUAGAAGCAGCCAUCAUUUAAAGAAAGCGUAAUAGCUCACUGGUCGAGUCGGCCUGCGCGGAAGAUGUAACGGGGCUAAACCAUGCACCGAAGCUGCGGCAGCGACGCUGAUGCGUUGUUGGGUAGGGGAGCGU
rnacentral:rRNA from 1 species